CCAUCUCGCUCUGCACUGCUCGCCCCUUCCACCUCCCCAAACAACACCCUCCCCACCUCACCAAGCGUGCUGCUGCUGCUGGUGCUGCUCCUGCGGUGGUUUGGUUGCUUCCUCCUCCUCCUCCUCCUCCUCCUCCUCGUCAUCUUCUCCCUUUGCCUGCCUCGGUUGCUUGCUGAGCUGAGCUGAGAGCACGGGCAGGGCUUGCUUGCUCCCUUGGUCACCCAGAGUGUCACUGUCUGUCUCUGCCUUUCUUUUUUCCUCUGUCCCGCUUGGUCCUCUGGCCUUUUGCUUUCUCAACUUCUUGCCUCUCCUCCCAUCUCGUCACCGCCGGUGUGCCGGAAUCCAAAUCCACCUGAUCCUCUCCUCCCGUCUCUGAUAUUUUCUUCUUCCCGGAGUAAUUUCGGUUCUAGGUUGUUUGGGGCUCUAGCUUUCCCCUCUGUUGUGUUCAGGUGGUGCGUUGUGUUCUAGGUUCCUUACCCGCCAUUAGCUUCUCAGGGUUGGCUCGGUUGUGCUCGCCUAGGCCUCGUUCUUGCUCGGGAUUGGGUCAAUUGGGAGUUGCUGCCUAUAGGGUUAGGUAGGAGGUGCUUCCAUUGUACUAGUUGCUCUGAAUUGGGAGAGGUUGGGAUGCUUUUGGACGACAUGAUGAUGGAGGGCAGGAAGGGGUUGAUGGAGAGGGAGAGGGAGAGGGAUCAGUUCCCCGUCGGCAUGCGGGUCCUCGCCGUCGAUGACGACCCCGUGUGCCUCAAGGUUCUGGAGGUCCUCCUCCGGCGCUGCCAGUAUCAUGUAACAACCACCAACCAGGCUGCUACUGCACUGAGGCUGUUAAGGGAGAACAAGAACAUGUUUGAUCUGGUGAUCAGCGACGUCCACAUGUCCGACAUGGACGGCUUCAAGCUCCUCGAGCUCGUGGGGCUUGAAAUGGACCUCCCCGUCAUCAUGUUAUCGGUGAACGGAGAGACUAAAUCUGUGCUCAAGGGGAUAACUCAUGGUGCCUGUGACUAUCUCCUAAAACCGGUUCGCAUCGAAGAGCUCCGGAACGUGUGGCAGCACGUUGUGAGGAGAAAAUUCAGCAACCGUGAGCCGAACAAUCUUGAUUUCUGCAAGGAGAUCAGUAGGGACUCGUACCACCGGCUCGGCCAGGCGACCUGUGACAGGUCGUCUGACCAGAGCAACAGGGCCAGCAAGAAGAGGAAGGAACUGCACAACGAGGAGGAAGACGAAGGCGAGGACAACGACAACGCCGCGGCCUCGAAGAAGCCGAGGGUGGUGUGGUCAGUGGAGCUGCACCGGAAGUUCGUCGCUGCCGUCAACCAGCUCGGGAUCGACAAGGCUGUACCUAAAAGAGUACUCGAGCUUAUGAACGUCGAGAAGCUCACCAGGGAAAAUGUCGCGAGUCAUCUGCAGAAGUACAGGCUAUACCUCAGACGGCUAAGUGCUGUGGCAUCACAACAAGCCAGCAUUGCCGCUGCCUUUGGAGGCAGAGACCCCUUUAUGCACAUGGGAGCAUAUGAAGGACUUCAUAGUUAUCAUCAACCCUUUGCCCCUUCUGCUGCUCCUCCAUCUUUUAAUCCACAUGGACUGGUGAGUGGUGCUGGUGCAGCAGCAUUUGGGCUUCAGGACCUUGCUUCUCCCAAGGGAAUUCACUGUGCUGGCAACAAUGGCGAAGUAAGCCACUGCGCUGGCGACACAAAUAAGUUUCACAUUGUGAGCUUACAAGACAAUCAACACGCAGAUCUAACGCAAGGCUUGACCGCAUCGUCGCUUGGGCAGCCCCGGCUCCAGCAGGAGUGGAUCCAUCAAGAAACCAGUGAUCUGUGCUCUGUCUUUUCCGGGGGUGCUCUGGCCAACACUAUGCCUGGCACAUUCCAGAGAAUUACAGGCAGUUCACUGCCACCAGAAGAUCUUUUGGAGUGCACUCCACAUGUCAAAGUUGGAGCCCAUCCAUCAAUAGGAAUACAAACUGCGAGUUCAGGAUUGCUUGAAAGGUCUCAGCAGGGUGCUCUUCCAAUUGGUGAUGGAUUUUCUGUUGACAAGUUACCGUUGCACAUCUCGUUCCACGGCGCUGUCGCGACAAAGCUGGAUGCUAGCUUUGUCGCUGAAGAACAAGGGAUGGACCAAAAGGGGAUAUUUUCAGAAAGAAUGACUGUUGGUGCUUGCCCUUCUGAGAGCCUCAUAGCAGCCAGCAGUGGCAGGUGUGGAGCUAGUUCUUCUGGUAGUACAAUGCUGCUCCCUCCUCAUGAUACCGACAGACAUUCGAAAUACUUGCAGUUUGGAGUUGCAAGCAACUCUAGACAUAGAAUGAAUGGCACGAGACAAGACCAAAGACUGAACAAUGGAGAUUUUAGCUAUGAUGGUGCUAUUGUGCCUGAACAGACUGAUGUGUAUGAUUUUGGAAUUUCAAAGCUGCAGGGUCAGGGUGCGUUAAAUAAUAGCAGCUGCAACUUUGACGGCCUACUCAAUUCCAUAAUAAAAGUGGAGAACCCGCAUGUCAUGACGAUGCUCCCCCUCUAGCUAGCUACCUCUUUCCCAGUCAGUUGCUUCAUAUGGCAACCUCCGCAGACAUCCGACCUGCAAAGAGAGCCUGGCCUACGGGGGAUGCCUCAGGAGGAUAGAUGAUCGCCUUCGGAGCCAACCUGCGACCAGACCAUAUAUCUGAACGGAGCCGUCGUGCCUAGGGUGAAAGCCCGCGGAAGGAAGGAGUACCUCCACGAUCACCACCGGCGAAAGAGACGAUCACCACUGGAAGGAUGGCGCCCACCCACGUCGCGGGCGUCAACCGCUGUCGACCUCUGAAACUGAAAGCGCCGUCGAGAAGAUCUGCGAGGUGUGGGUGCUGGUGAGCGGCGCCCGGGAUGAGCUCCAGAGGCAGGAGGAGACUGUCCUGUACAAGCGUCCACUUUUUUUUUUUGAGAUAAGUACAAACGUCCACGUGAGCAUAUGUGACUGUCUAAGGCUGGUUUAAGAAGUCUUGUACAUUUGUUGUAUGUUUUUUUAGGAUCAAACACUCCAUUUUAUUCAAACACCACAAGUCGUUCAAUACAUAAGAAAUCAGGAGGAUUGA
rnacentral:rRNA from 1 species